rnacentral:lncRNA from 1 species
GCCGCUGCUGUGUGUAGUCGACUGUGUUGACACUAACGUUCUUUUGUUUAAGAUCCUGGAGUAAUCGUUAGUGCUCGUAAUAACUGAAACUUUUCUUAUUAGUUUUCUCCGGGCCCCAUACGUUGAGACGGAUUUCGUCACCAUUUCCGUCAAUCAAAUUUAUUAUAUAAAGGCAAGUAUUCGAAUGCGUUAAGAAAGUAACUUUAUGAGUCACUCGACAUUUAAUAGGCCCUCUACAAAAUUUUAAUAGAUAAUACUUUUUAGGAUUUUCAUAGUUAAAAAUGUUAUCACUUACUCUAGAAAACCCAGAGGAAUAUCCGCAAAACCUUUUGUUGUAGGAAGUUCGCCUGAGCUAAAAUCGGCACGUUUUUCGCCAUUACUUUUUCCCUUUUCUUCUAUCUUUCUUUUUAACGCCCUAAAUGACAUGGUGUUAAUUAGGCAAGCCCAGAGAAUGCGUGUUCAUACCACUGAGAGUAUGGUUCAACUAGCUUGUUUUCCUUCAAUACCUUUUCAGGUCGACGAUGCUUAGGAACAGUCUCAAGGCCAAUUCACUGUUUUUUCUGGAUUGACUGGAGAUUCUGGAGGCCAAGGCUAUUUCGGUCUUUCCAGUAACGUAUUUAAAUUGAUUUGAAAAUGCCUCCAAAAGGUAGGAAAACUUUUAAUUCGAGGAAGGGAUCAUUCGCCUCAAAAAAUAAUAAAAAACGAAAAACCGCUGAAAAUUCCGCUUCAAAUUCUCAGGGAUUGCAGGAAAAUAAUUUUGUUGACAUUGAAGUUGAGGUAACCCAUAUAGCACAUUUCUGCCGUCGGAUGUCCGAAUCAUGGCCGAACAUCCGUUAGAUAUCUAUGUACUCAAUGGGUAGUUCCAGGGA